rnacentral:lncRNA from 1 species
CCCACCUCCUCCUCAGCGCUUCCUGCUGGGGCAACUCUUGAGGCUACAUGGGGAGCCUGAGUUUGUCCCUGGGGGCUGGGGCCUGAGCCGGCCUGCGGUCUGCCUGCCAGACUGGGGGCACCUCUGGGCCUGCCUGUGGGUCUGGUUCCCUCACCCCAGGGCUCUCCUGGGAAAGCAGAGGUAAGGAGGGCCUGCCCAGAGUACUUUCGGGCAGCAAUGACUUCAGUGUUUGUCCCUAAAAUAAAUGCACCACAGACAAGACAGUGUGGUCAGGGGCUGAGGACUUACUGUAAAUACCAGCCCCGGGCUUCCUAUUUCUGUUUCUCUGACUCCCCGGGGGGCAGGCGCCGGCCAGCUCCUUUCUAGCGCAUCUCUUCUUACUGCUGCAUCCAAGGAAAGGGCUCGGCCUGGACAUUCCUCAUUGGAAGGUCCCAGGAACACUUUGAGGGUUUGGAGCAGGAACCCCGCUCUCCCAGGGGGCUUAUGCUCAGGGUCUGUCUUCCCCCAAGAAAGGGGCACAAAGCCUAAGUGUGAGGAGCUGUGCUGUGUAUAUUCUGAGAGCCUCACAACAAACCCCAAACAUGGGAGAGCAAACAAUGACAUCUACGAUGCAAGCAUAUGAUAGACACUUUCUUAAAGGCUGUACCUGGUUCAUCACAUACAGUUCUCACCAGAGUCAUAGGGUGGGAAUCAAGACAAGAAUGUAAAGAUCCUUGCCUAAGGGCACCCCGUCUGUAAACUGCAAGUUCAACGCCAGCAGCCUGGCUCCAGACCUGCAUUCUUAACUCCUGCUCUGUGCAGUGAAGAUAAGAACGACCUCAUCCUGCAGACGGAGGCAAGCUGUCCAAAGAGAGGGCCUCCUGCUUUUUUCUCUGCUCUUUCCAUCACUAGCAGGCUCCACCUAAGCCACAUUCCUGAGCUUAAGGUUUGCAGCCUGGGACGUGGGACUUUGCACUACAUAAUCAGGUACCCAGGCUGCUCUGGGUCUCCACCCUUGCCCCUUUCAAGCUCCACCCAAGCGUGGCUGUCACCGGCCCAGGGAACUGCCUGGAGCCACCUGGUCUAUUUCCAGCAGAUGUGAGUCAUUUUCCUUUCCAAGAAACCAAGGCGUCUAACAUUUACUGGAUACUCUGGGAGAUUCAGCUAAACUGCUUUUGCACAUGAAGACACUGAGGUUCUGAGAGGUGAUGCAAUGUGUUCAAGAUUUCACAGCUCAACGUCUGAGAAAGGCAUGAAGACAGCAAAUGUUUCCUAGGGGCAAAUGGAUCCACCCUUAACAACUCCGAUUUAGUGAACAUGCUUGCU